CCUACGGGUGGCAGCAGUGAGGAAUAUUGGUCAAUGGGAGGAAUCCUGAACCAGCCAUGCAGCGUGCAGGACGACGGCUCUACGAGUUGUAAACUGCUUUUGUACCGGGGUAAAAUGCUCUACGAGUAGGGUUUUGAAAGUACGGUACGAAUAAGGAUCGGCUAACUCCGUGCCAGCAGCCGCGGUAAUACGGAGGGUCCGAGCGUUAUCCGGAUUUAUUGGGUUUAAAGGGUGCGUAGGUUGUUUUAUAAGUUAGCGGUGAAAUACCGAUGCUCAACAUCGGGGCUGCCGCUAAUACUGUAGGACUAGAGAUCGGAUGCAGCAGGCGGAAUGUGUAGUGUAGCGGUGAAAUGCAUAGAUAUUACACAGAACACCGAUUGCGAAGGCAGCUUGCUAGGCCGGAUCUGACACUGAUGCACGAAAGCGUGGGGAUCGAACAGGAUUAGAUACCCGAGUAGUC
rnacentral:rRNA from 1 species